CUCUGCCUGUCACUCUUUUAAGGUGUUGGAACUGAUGCACUGCUCAGGGCUUCAUCACUCCACAACAGGAUCAUAUUGGAACCAUAAAAAUGCCGUACAGCCACUGGUGGUUAUUGUGAGCAGGAGGUGAGAUAACCGGUAGAAGAAUAAAGAUUCAAGUGUGCUGGCAGUCGGGAAAAUCUCAUCUGACACGACGGGCCAACACGCCCCGACUGCUCUGCAACUUUCCGCUGACUCACCUCAGUAUCAGGUCAACUUGGAGAUGAACUUUAAAGGAAGAUGUAACAAAUGAUUGCAGCCUCUCAGGCAAUUCAUAUCUGCUGAAGAGCCAUAACCCUCUACAUAUCCUGACCUCAAUUUGGAGUCUCUGUGUUGAAGGCCCAUCUGAGUGGAGAUGGUAUCGAUCUGAGCAGGGACUCUGGCAGUGUCAAUAAACAACAGGCUUCAGCCUUCAAGGCUGAAGAGACACAUCUCUAUUUCAGCUGGAGGGUUCGCCUCUGGAUACCUGACGUGGGGCGUGUCCCUGGACAGACGGUGGGACAUGUUUUUCUUGCUGAACUCACAGCAUGUAUAACCACUUUUUGAGACUAAAGUCAGUGACAUCUUCUCUACAGUCAGUUCUGUCAAGGUAAAUGACAAGCACAAGCUCAGGCAUUUUUACUUUGAAUAAUUACCAUUAAUGUUAAGGUGCAUUGUAAAUAGAAAGCUACCAAGGAGAAGUCAAUAUCUGCGAGAACGAUCAAUGCGUAACCAGCAGACAAAUAGUAUUUCAAGAUCUUCUAUAUCAGCAUUGCAGUGAAGAAAGACAGUGCUGACUUUGGCUCCUCAAUCAAUAAACACAACAAUCCAGCCAAUACUUUUGACACAGAGUAAUGAAAUAAUAAUCAGAGGAGGAGAAAGAAGAGGAAGAAGAAACAAACACAGGCUGCAUUUUGGACACUUAGUUACACACGAAAACAGAUGUAGAUCAAAAAUAAAACUAUAAUAAAUGUAAUAA